rnacentral:rRNA from 1 species
AUGGACUCGCGUCCGAUUUAGUUAGUUGGUGAGGUAACGGCUCACCAAGACCGCGAUCGGUAGCCGGACUGAGAGGUUGAACGGCCACAUUGGGACUGAGACACGGCCCAGACUCUUACGGGAGGCAGCAGUGGGGGAUAUUGCGCAAUGGGGGAAACCCUGACGCAGCAACGCCGCGUGAAGGAUGAAGGUCUUCGGAUUGUAAACUUCUUUUAUUAGGGACGAAGAAAGUGACGGUACUUAAUGAAUAAGCUCCGGCUAACUACGUGCCAGCAGCCGCGGUAAUACGUAGGGAGCAAGCGUUGUCCGGAUUUACUGGGUGUAAAGGGUGCGUAGGCGGCUUUGCAAGUCAGAUGUGAAAUCUAUGGGCUCAACCCAUAGCCUGCAUUUGAAACUGCAGAGCUUGAGUGAAGUAGAGGCAGGCGGAAUUCCCCGUGUAGCGGUGAAAUGCGUAGAGAUGGGGAGGAACACCAGUGGCGAAGGCGGCCUGCUGGGCUUUAACUGACGCUGAGGCACGAAAGCGUGGGUAGCAAACAGGAUUAGAUACCCUGGUAGUCCACGCUGUAAACGAUGAUUACUAGGUGGGGGGGUGUGACCCCUUCCGUGCCGGAGUUAACACAAUAAGUAAUCCACCUGGGGAGUGCGGCCGCAAGGUUGAAACUCAAAGGAAUUGACGGGGGCCCGCACAAGCAGUGGAGUAUGUGGUUUAAUUCGAAGCAACGCGAAGAACCUUACCAGGUCUUGACAUCUUACUAACGAGAUAGAGAUAUGUUAGGUGCCCUUCGGGGAAAGUAGAGACAGGUGGUGCAUGGUUGUCGUCAGCUCGUGUCGUGAGAUGUUGGGUUAAGUCCCGCAACGAGCGCAACCCUUGCUAUUAGUUGUUACGCAAGAGCACUCUAAUAGGACUGCCGUUGACAAAACGGAGGAAGGUGGGGAGGACGUCAAAUCAUCAUGCCCCUUAUGACCUGGGGUACACACGUACUACAAUGGACAUUAACAGAGGGAAGCAAUACAGUGAUGUGGAGCAAACCCCUAAAAAUGUUCUCAGUUCAGAUUGCAGGCUGCAACCCGCCUGUAUGAAGAUGGAAUUGCUAGUAAUCGCAGAUCAGCAUGCUGCGGUGAAUACGUUCCCGGGCCUUGCACU